GACGAACGCUGGCGGCGUGCCUAAUACAUGCAAGUCGAACGCAGUGGGGACGGGUGAGUAACACGUGGGUAACCUCCCAUCAGAGGAGAUAACACUUGGAAACAGGUGCUAAACCGCUACUGAUGGAUGGACCCGCGGUGCAUUAGCUAGUUGGUGAGGUAACGGCUCACCAAGGCAACGAUGCAUAGCCGAGCUGAGAGGGGGUUCGGCCACACUGGAACUGAGACACGGACCAGACGCCUACGGGAGGCAGCAGUAGGGAAUCUUCGACAAUGGACUAAAGUCUGACCGAGCGACGCCGCGUGAGUGAAGAAGGUUUUCGGAUCGUAAAACUCUGGUGUUAGAGAAGCGGUAUCUAACCAGAAAGCAACGGCUAACUACGUGCCAGCAGCCGCGGUAAUUC
rnacentral:rRNA from 1 species